rnacentral:rRNA from 1 species
UAAUACAUGCAAGUCGAGCGAACAGACGAGGAGCUUGCUCCUCUGACGUUAGCGGCGGACGGGUGAGUAACACGUGGGUAACCUACCUAUAAGACUGGGAUAACUCCGGGAAACCGGGGCUAAUACCGGAUAAUACAUGAAACCGCAUGGUUUCAUGAUGAAAGACGGUUUUGCUGUCACUUAUAGAUGGACCCGCGGCGUAUUAGCUAGUUGGUAAGGUAACGGCUUACCAAGGCAACGAUACGUAGCCGACCUGAGAGGGUGAUCGGCCACACUGGAACUGAGACACGGUCCAGACUCCUACGGGAGGCAGCAGUAGGGAAUCUUCCGCAAUGGGCGAAAGCCUGACGGAGCAACGCCGCGUGAGUGAUGAAGGUCUUCGGAUCGUAAAACUCUGUUAUUAGGGAAGAACAAGGAUGUAAGUAACUGUGCAUCCCUUGACGGUACCUAAUCAGAAAGCCACGGCUAACUACGUGCCAGCAGCCGCGGUAAUACGUAGGUGGCAAGCGUUAUCCGGAAUUAUUGGGCGUAAAGCGCGCGUAGGCGGUUUUUUAAGUCUGAUGUGAAAGCCCACGGCUCAACCGUGGAGGGUCAUUGGAAACUGGAAAACUUGAGUGCAGAAGAGGAAAGUGGAAUUCCAUGUGUAGCGGUGAAAUGCGCAGAGAUAUGGAGGAACACAAGUGGCGAAGGCGACUUUCUGGUCUGCAACU